UGCAUUCACUACUGUGAGUCGCUCUGGAUAAGAGCGUCUGCUAAAUGACGUACU
rfam:Salmo salar isolate Sally breed double haploid chromosome ssa24, whole genome shotgun sequence.